rnacentral:lncRNA from 1 species
CCACAGUGUUUACAGCUUCUUAGAGAUUCACCUGCCUCCACGUGCGUUUGGCCUUUACUUUCUGUCCACCAUUUUCUUUUGUGAGAUCCUUCACUUAGUCCCCAAAUCUGCCCGAUGCUUGAUCUGCUGGAACCCUAAAAUGGGGACAGGGAAGGACCUUCCUUCUCCAAGGAAUUUUUCCUAUUUCCAAGGAAACAGGGAUGUAAACAUAAAACACAGCAGCUCAGUGAUGGGCACCCGAUGCUGUCUGCUCUGCAGAGACUCCUGAGGCCAGCAACACCCACCUUUCUUCAUUGUUGGUUCCUUACUGUACUGGGCUAGAGGAAGGUCAGACCUGGGUGGCAGUAAGUUUCAACGGAGGUGAUGAACCAAAUGGAACCAGUGGGAUAGUGCUGGUGGUCAUUCAUGAUGCUCAGCUGGAGAAUAACUUCAGUAGAUGGAAGAUCUUGUGAUUGGUGGGAGAAUCUAUAAUUGCACUAGUGAUCUCAUUUUGAAACUGAGUAUGCAAAAUGACUUCUUUAAAGCACACCGAAUACAAAAUGGCAGCUUCGACUGGCCAGCUGUUUGGAGAUGUGCGUGGCCUGUAACUCACCAAUGCAUGCUGAGGCUACACAAAUGCCUUCAUGUGUCUUUGUGCACUAGUUGAACAGUACAGUGUUCCAAUGCUGUGGUGGUGAAUCUGUUCAAAUUAUGUCUCACUUCUGGCUCUUCCCACAACACUGGAAACUUGAUGAUUUAUUGAGACAAAUUUCAGUGGCAAAAGAAAAGCCAGGGUGCAAACUCAGAACCAUGAGACUUCUUUGGGAGGAUAGAACCUGGAGGGUUUGCUCUGUUGAUUACUAGAAAUCUGCUCUUCUUAGCCAACCAGCAGCAGUAAGAGGACCACAUUCUCCUACUCUACAGCCAUGGAAAAUGAAUUUUCAAGCAGCCAAGAGAGUGGGCAUCUAACAUCUGAACAUACCAAGAGUCAACCUGUGAACUCAGAGUUUCAUGCAAAGCUUCCCACUGGCAGGGUGUGUUUUUAUCUUCUGUGACAUGACAUUCAUCCACGAGCUGCUGCGAAUCAGAAUUCUCAGUUUUCUGGUACUUAAGUUCCACUUACAUAGUUGCAGGAAGCCAAAGUCAACCUUUCAAAUAAUUUUCCCACGAUUAUCCAUUUGAAUAAUCACAUCUCUCCCAUUCCCAGAAACCCCUUACUAAGGGCGAUUUGCACAUGUGGAAUCAUCACAAAGGAAGAAUGAAGGUUGAUGGCAAUUUUGAGGGACUGUGAGCACAGUGACUCCUAGAAGUUAAUAGUGAUCAAAAUUCCUGCUUGGAAAACCUCUGAAGGAUUUGGAGAGGAACGCUGAAAGGAUACAUCUCGUCUGUAGUCUGCAAAUGGGAGUCUCAGAAGCCUGUCACUGUGAUUACAGAAUCUUCCAUUCUGUCUAAGGCCCUAGGAGUCUUACUAUGGGCUUUGUAUAUGCUGACCCAUUUUCUUUGCAACUGGAGUUAAGGGCAUUUCCUUUACCCCUCAUGUCUUCUCCAUAGCAUCCCAUUUGGAUACACUUCAUUCCUUUUUAAUUUUUAGCAAUUUUAGAUAAAGACUCACAAUACAUGUUCACAUUAUUAGUGAAAGUCCAUUUGCCACAACAAGUCUCCUCCUCCCCCCACAUGUGUGGGGCAGGAAUGGGGACAGAAAUACAAGGACAAAAAGCAGACAUUGAAAUGAAAUGGUUAGUGGAAUCUAAGUAAGAUACAACACACCCAACAUAUGAGAAAGGUUUGUGAUUUUAAAUAUUUUAAAGUACAUAAAGACACAGUGAACAAAAAAAUAUCAGGAUACUUGUCUGGUCAGAUCUUCAAUAUCAAACCUUUCAGAGAAAUUGCAAUUGGUCAGUAACUUUAUGAUUUCUAAAGAAGCAGACAGUUCCUUGAGGGUUAAUGUCAUGUCUGAUAACUCCUGUUCCCAAAGUUGGAGCUACUUCUGUGAUCAGAACCUGCUAUUAAAUAAACAAGAAUGUUCCAGCCUAUUAUGUGUAAUAAUAUUUGAACUAUAGCCUUGGAGUUCUAUUUUCCUGAGAUGAUAAAUGAACAAUUUGUUCUCAGAAACACUAGUGAAAUUAUGUGUUGGCAGGAAAAGGAGAGAAAGUGGACGCAUAAUGGGAUAGGGAUGCCUGAGAACGUAGGAUGUCAGUAGAGAGCUAAAUCUGAGCAGGAAUAAAGGACCUAUAAGACUCCAUGGUAGAAUAUCAAACAUAACUUUUUGACAGAGGAAAGGACACUGAAAAACAUGGUAGCAGCCACAUGUGUGGGGCAGGAAUGGGGACAGAAAUACAAGGGCAAAAAGUGGGUAUUGAAAUGAAAUGGUUAGUGGAAUCUGAAGAAGACACAACACACCCAAGAUAUGAGAAAGGUUUGUGACAUGAAGAGUGUCAAGGAGAUAGAGAUCAUGUUGCAGUAGAAAUCUGUGGCAUAGGCAACAGGACAAAGACUUGAUGUAAAUACUUACAAGGGAAACUAAGAGACCAGGACGGUGGAGAUGGCCAGGUGAGUAAGAUGACUUUCUGCACCAGGAUGAGGAUCUGAGGGUGCUGGUAGAGCAUCUCUGGAACUGUGACACGUGGAGAGAUGAGAAGCUAAAGAACAUGACUGGAGCACAGUCCAGACCCAGACAUCUUUAUCUUUAUUGAGUCCUGAUGAAGUUUGGCUAUUAUAAAUCCUGAUUGAGUGCCAUGAUGUUUUCCAAGCAAAUGGGACCACUUUGUAAAAAGCAAAAGCAGCCUGUCACCAUGUGGAAGAGGAGGAGGUGUCGAUGGAGAGCAGCCACCAGCAUUUUCAGAAAGCGACAUGAUGUAACAGCCACUCUACACCGCCUCAUUUGUGCUGGAAAUUUUUAAAUAGAGAAAAAUAAUCCUGUACCAUUAGCAUAGCAACAAGUAUGUUCUUCGCAUAAUAAACUUGGUUCCAGGGAAGCACUGGGCUCCAUUUUGCUUGCCCUUCUGUCU